rnacentral:tRNA from 1 species
CCCUGGAUGGCUCAGAUGGUAAAGAAUCUGCCUGCAAUGCAGAAGGCCUGGGUUCGAUCCCUGGGUUGGGAA